UACGGAGGGGGCUAGCGUUGUUCGGAAUUACUGGGCGUAAAGCGCGUGUAGGCGGGCUGUUAAGUCGGGGGUGAAAUCCCAGAGCUCAACUCUGGAACUGCCUUCAAUACUGGUAGGCUGGAGUCUGGUAGAGGGGAGUGGAAUUGCGAGUGUAGAGGUGAAAUUCGUAGAUAUUCGCAAGAACACCAGUGGCGAAGGCGGCGCGCUGGACCGGUGCUGACGCUGAGGCGCGAAAGCGUGGGGAGCAAACAGG
rnacentral:rRNA from 1 species